CCACUGGUUGUCACUGUCACUGUCCCUGGGGUAAGGGCAGGGCCUCUAUGGUUCCAGAAAAGGGCCUGGCACAUAGUAGACUGUUACAAAUAAAAGGUCCUGUCAUUUAAUCUUCCUGAGACUUGCUAGUUGUAUUUUGACCCCUGCUUUAAAAUGAGAAUGAGGAUCAGAGAGGAAGAGCGAUUCAUCCUAGGUCACAGAGCUGCAUGUGGGCCCACUGAGAGGCAGGGCCUAGGCACUAUCCACUGGGAUUGGUCUCCUUCUGUUGGGCUGGAAGUGAUGCAAGGAGGAUGGAGAUUAGGGAGAGAAGGGCAACAGAAAGGGAAGAGGAGAGGGAGAAAACAGAAAAGAGGAAGGGCCUUCAGGAUGGAGGAAGGGCAAGAGGAUCCUGGCUAAAGGUCUGUUCUGGCCUCAUCCUGUAGGAAUCUCAGCCUCUCCCCUAAACCAGAACAGACUCACAGAGUGACCCAGUGGAAGGGGCCUCAGAAGACAUCCAGUUGAGUCUCUUCCUUCACUGAACAGAUGAGGAAACUGAGGCUCAAAGGGAAAUGUCCCCAUGGCAGUUUGGAAACGCGAGUCCAUUUACACUCAAAUGUGUCCCCUGCCCCCCCACCCAUGGACAUGUUUAGCUUUGGUGGGAGGAUUUGAGCUGGGAAGUGAAUGAGGCAGCCAGAGAAGAUUGGGGUGGAGGGGGUGGUGUGAAAUUGAAACAGCAACAAAAGGUCCGGUUCUCAGAAAAUGGGAUUUAGGUGUGGUUCCCAGAAGAUUGUGUUAGACCCAAAGGGCCACUGAGGAAGACUGCGGACUUCCUUCUUUGCAGGGGGUGUCUGGCUGAGGCAGCCUGGUGAUGGGCACGCCAGAAGACUCCUGGUUCCAUCCAGGCCCAAGGACCACGGAACUGGAGCGGUCUCCUCCGUCACCCAGCAAGCCUGUUCUUUAAAGUGGAGGAGAACAAGCUGAGACGGGCCAUCAUCCAGUAAACUGCCCCAUAGACUGAAUAAACUCCUUUGUACUGUAA